AAACAAAACAAAACAAAACAAAAAUAUUGUGCCUGCAGCCUGCUGAAGACGACUUCUUAUUAUUUCCUUGCAUAGCUCAAAAUGAUUCUAUUUGAACAAUAGAAAUAAAGAAUAUUGGGAAAGCGAAACAAUCGUCAUACAUCAUCUUCAUUGUGGCAGAACAAAUCAAAUAUAGAAUGGCUCUUUACUGCACCAGAUCGGGUGAGGUUCCAAAUGUCUAGCAACCCAAAGCAUUUGAUAGAUCUCUUCCUACAUAUCAACUGUUGGGUAAAGACCAAGAGAAUUACGCCCACCACCAUUUGAAUCUGCACCAGCAUACAUUGGUGACUGUAGUUCACCAGAAUGGGAUGAUUUGCGUGAUCUUGGGUUUUUAGGAGAAGCAGUGUAUGAAUCAGUUGAACCACUGGAAUUAUACACAGAUGAUGUUGGAAGACCAUGAAUCUUUGGUAGGCCUGUUGGGUCAGUACCUAUGCUGUAGCCUCUUUCAACUGUCUCAGCUUCAAGUGGCAACUCA
rnacentral:misc_RNA from 1 species